GACGUAGGGGGCGAGCGUUGUCCGGAUUUAUUGGGCGUAAAGCGCGCGUAGGCGGUCCGUUAAGUCGGAUGUGAAGAUCCGGGGCUCAACCCCGGACCUGCAUCCGAUACUGGCGGGCUGGAGGCAGGUAGGGGAGAUCGGAAUUCCUGGUGUAGCGGUGAAAUGCGCAGAUAUCAGGAGGAACACCGGUGGCGAAGGCGGAUCUCUGGGCCUGUCCUGACGCUCAGGCGCGAAAGCUAGGGGAGCAAACAGG
rnacentral:rRNA from 1 species